AGCGAAAGCUGGCGGCAGGCCUAACACAUGCAAGUCGAACGAAGUCUUCGGACUUAGUGGCGGACGGGUGAGUAACACGUGGGAACGUACCUUUUGGCUCGGAACAACACAGGGAAACUUGAGCUAAUACCGGAUGAGCCCUUAGGGGGAAAGAUUUAUCGCCGGAAGAGCGGCCCGCGUUAGAUUAGCUAGUUGGUGAGGUAAAGGCUCACCAAGGCUACGAUCUAUAGCUGGUCUGAGAGGAUGAUCAGCCACACUGGGACUGAGACACGGCCCAUACUCCUACGGGAGGCAGCAAUGGGGAAUCUUGCGCAAUGGGCGAAAGCCUGACUCAGCCAUGCCGCGUGAAUGAUGAAGGUCUUAGGAUUGUAAAAUUCUUUUACCAGGGACGAUAAUGACGGUACCUGGAGAAAAAGCCCCGGCUAACUUCGUGCCAGCCGCCGCCGUAAAAC
rnacentral:rRNA from 1 species